rnacentral:rRNA from 1 species
AUUGAACGCUGGCGGCAUGCUUUACACAUGCAAGUCGAACGAGACCUUCGGGUCUAGUGGCGCACGGGUGCGUAACGCGUGGGAAUCUGCCCUUGGGUUCGGAAUAACAGUUAGAAAUGACUGCUAAUACCGGAUGAUGUCGUAAGACCAAAGAUUUAUCGCCCAAGGAUGAGCCCGCGUAGGAUUAGCUAGUUGGUGAGGUAAAAGCUCACCAAGGCGACGAUCCUUAGCUGGUCUGAGAGGAUGAUCAGCCACACUGGGACUGAGACACGGCCCAGACUCCUACGGGAGGCAGCAGUGGGGAAUAUUGGACAAUGGGCGAAAGCCUGAUCCAGCAAUGCCGCGUGAGUGAUGAAGGCCUUAGGGUUGUAAAGCUCUUUUACCCGGGAUGAUAAUGACAGUACCGGGAGAAUAAGCUCCGGCUAACUUCGUGCCAGCCGCCGCCGUAACAC